CAUACCAAAAGAAAAAGCAAAAAUUACUGAAAUCAGAAAUGAAAAGAGGUGCCUUUAUUACUGUUCUCAUGAACAUUAGGACUUUAGAAGGAUAAUAAAGGGAUGUUAUGAGCAACUCUUUGUGUGCAAAUUUGAUAACAUGAAAUGGACCAAUUCUGUGAAACCUCACACAAGGAGAAAUAAUGGCUUUGCAUAAACUUACAAAAUAAAUUCAGUCAAUUAUGUGCUUCCAAAGCAAAGCAUUGGUCUCAGAUGGUUUCACUAGUGAAGUCUACCAUUCAAGGAGAAAGUGAUGCCAAUUUUCUGCAAUCUGUUCUAGAAAAUAGAAGCAGAGGAAAUGCUUUAACACAUUCUGUGAGGCCACAUAACGCUGAUAACAAAAUUAGGUAAAAAUAUUACAAGAAAGGGCAACCACAAACCAGUAUCUCUCAUGAACAUAGCUAUAAAAAUUCUCAACAGAAUAUUAGCAAAUCUAAUGCAACAAUAUAUAACAAAAUAUACCAGAGUCAAGCGGGAUUUAUUUCAGGUAUGCAAGGCUGGUUCAACAUUGAAAUCAGUUCAUAUAAUUUAUUACAUUAUCACACUAAAGGAGAAAAGUCAUGAUUUUAUCAAUAGACACAGAUAAACCGUUUGACAAAACCAACACCUAUUUAUGAUAAAGACAGACAAAAUUAUCAACCAGCUAGGAAUAUAAGGAAAUCCUCAACUUCAUAAAGAAUAUCUACAAAAAAACCUACAGCUGGUGUUGCUGCCUGAGAGCCGGAGACAGUCCUGCAGCUGCCGCAGCACUGCUAGCCACCUGACAGUGUCCCACCUAGUCGAGCCACCGCUGUCCCUGCACAACAAUAACUGCGAGGAAAGUGACCAGUCUCCGCCCCCGCCUGCUGGCCUCAACAGUUCCGGGGUGGAGCUACCCAUGAAUAGCAGUAAUGGCAAUGGGAAAAAUGGGGGCUAGAACACGUACCUUCCUCAUCCUCCAUUCACAAUGGAGACAUGGAGAAGAUUCUUUUGGAUGCACAACAUGAAUCAGGACAGAGUAGUUCAAGAGGCAGUUCUCACUGUGACAGCCCUUUGCCAUAAGAAGAUGGGCAGAUCAUGUUUGAUGUGGAAAUGCACACCAGCAGGGACCAUAGCUUUCAGUCGGAAGAAGAAGUUGUAGAAGGAGAGAAAGAAAUUUGAGGCUUUGAAGAAAGGUGCAGAUUGAUUGUCAGACUGGUCCAGUAGACCCGAAAACGUUCCACCCAAGGAGUUCCACUUCAGACACCCUAAACAUUCUGUGUCUCUAAGCCUGAGGAAAAGUGAAGCCAUGAAGAAAGGGGGUAUCUUCUCCACAGAAUUUCUAAAGGUGUUCAUUCAUUCCAUCUCUCUUCCUUUCUCAUGUUUUGGCUUUGGGGCUAGGCAUCUAUAUUGGAAAGCGACUGAGCACACCCUCUGCCAGCACCUACUGAGGGAAAGGAAAAGCCCCUGGAAAUGUAUGUGACCUGUGAAGUGGUGUAUUGUCACAGUAGCUUAUUUGAACUUGAGACCAUUGUAAGCAUGACGCAGCCUACCACCCUGUUUUUACAUAUCCAAUUCCAGUAACUCUCAAAUCCAGUAUUUUAUUCAAACUCUGUUGAGGCAUUUUACUAACCUUAUACCCUUUUUGGCCCGUAGGACAUUUUAGAAUUUCCCAACAGUUUACUGUUGUUUAGAAAUUUGCAAGGGCUUCUUUUCCACAAAUGCCACCAGCAGAUUAUAAUUUUGUCAACAAUGCUGUUAUAUCUAAUUAGUACCACCAGACUAGACCUGUAUCAUUCAUGGUAUAAAUUUUACUCUUUCAACAUAACUACCAUUUAUCUCUUAAACUGAGAUCAGGUUAGCAAAUGAUGUCAAAGAAGCUUUAUUUUCUAGUUGGUUUUUCCCUUAAGACAAAGACAAGCUUCCCUAAGCUUGAGUUGAUAGUUACUAAAAAGAAAACAAACAAACAAAAAAGCAAGACACAAGAAAAAAAAAUCCUGGGCAAUAAAAAAUCAUUUUACACCAAAAAAAAAAAA